GCCUCUAUGGCGUAGUGGUAGCGCGUGUCACUUGUAUCGCAAGAUAUGACAAGGUCUCUCGUUCGAUCCGGGAUGGAGGCA